GAUGAACGCUCGCGAUAGGCUUAACACAUGCGAGUCGAGGGGCAGCACAAGGUAGCUUGCUAUCUGGGUGGCGACCGGCGCACGGGUGCGUAACGCGUAUGCAACUUGCCCUAUACAGGAGGAUAACCCGUCGAAAGACGGACUAAUACUGCGUAUGCUCACAACUUGGCAUCAAGUGGUGAGGAAAGAAAUUCGGUAUAGGAUAGGCAUGCGUCCCAUUAGCUUGUUGGUGAGGUAACGGCUCACCAAGGCAACGAUGGGUAGGGGAACUGAGAGGUUUAUCCCCCACACUGGUACUGAGACACGGACCAGACUCCUACGGGAGGCAGCAGUGAGGAAUAUUGGUCAAUGGGCGCGAGCCUGAACCAGCCAAGUCGCGUGAAGGAUGACUGUCUUAUGGAUUGUAAACUUCUUUUAUACGGGAAUAACAAGAGUCACGUGUGACUCCCUGCAUGUACCGUAUGAAUAAGCAUCGGCUAACUCCGUG
rnacentral:rRNA from 1 species